UCCACUCGGCAGGGCUCGACAUUAACGCUUGUCCGAUUGUCCGGGACAAGUGCACACAGGUGUCGGGCAAGUAGAUUCACCAUACUACUUGUCCGAUGGGACAAGUGAAAAAUCAAGGUCAGAUAAAAAUAGAUCAAAUUCAAGACUUAUACAUUCCCAAAAAUAUGAAUGAUUGUUUUAUUGAUCAUACUUAAUGAAAUAAUUAAUCAUUGAUUGAACCAGAGACAUAUAAAACUUGUAUAAUAUGUCUCUGAUUUGGAGUAUUGAACAUGCUGGCAGCCAUUGACCAGGGGGAUAUAAGUAAGGGGAAAGAAACCAAUGUUAAUGUAUCUUCUUAGUAUAAGCUUCCUUGAAUUAGGAGCACCUCCAUAUGGAGUUUUACCUAAACUUUAAAAUAUUAAAUUAAAGUAUGUUUCAUUUGAUUUUGCUUUUAUGCAUAACAAUACAUUAAAAGAGGUUUUAUUUGAUAAGAUCUAUGACAUGUGAUAUAAAUAUUUAAGAUGAAAAAAAAAAAAAUAUCUAAAAAGGCAGAUUUUUUAGUGAAAUGUGUCAUGUGUGUAUGUACUUCAUGAUCAUAUAUCAAUGUAUAUACAAAUCAAAAUAAAUUGUAAAAGCUUGUUUUGACAUCAUCAAUAAAUUAAAAAGGUUUACUCAUAUACAUGUUCAAGGUGGCCAGGUGUAUUUACAUCCUUGGUUUAACCCAUACCACUACUAAAGAAUGAAUAGGUCCAUUGGGGAACGUAGUGGUUUGGGAAGAAAUGAUGAUUUAAUGAUUGACAAAUGAUAGUGACAUUGAGUCAGAGAACACAGUCUUGCAAAAAAACUUUCAUUCUGAAAUAAUGAAAUGUAUUUUGAUGCGGUAUUCAUAUAACAUUACAAAAUGCUCCUUUUAUUAGGUACAAUCAAAGCCCAAGUGUUAUUAUUGCAUAAAUCAUCAAUAUGUUAGAUUUUCAAUUAUGAAUUCGGACAAGUGAGUUAAGAGUUCGGACAAGCUGAUUUUCCUGCCACUUGUCCGAAGGGACAAGUUAGAAAAAAUGUUAAUGUAGAGGCCUGACU
rnacentral:lncRNA from 1 species